UAUUUCUUCUAAACAGACUGAUCUGGAUGUUUACGUUCUGCAGAUUUAUCUGAACCAAUCACAGAGCUUCACUGUUUUAAUGAAUCAGAUUAAAAUUAUUCCUGACUUGAUAACUUUCAGCCUCAUAACUGUAAUUUGUUUUACAGUUGCUGUAAAACCAGAGAGCAGAGGAAGUUCAUCUGGAUCAAACUCUGAGCGAACCACCAAUGAUACAUCCACUCUGAAAGGUUUCUACCAGAACCUCAGCCCGGCCACCAGAGACCAGAACCAGAUCUACUGCACUCUGGAGAACUGAAAUAAGAUCCUGAAUUCUGUUUCUGAGCCUCAGGAAUUAAAAGUUUUUCACCUGAAAUCUGAAGAAAACUGAAAAUGAACAAUAAAGUUUUGAAUAAAUCAACUUAAAGCCAAA